rnacentral:rRNA from 1 species
UACGGGGGGGAGCAAGCGUUGUUCGGAUUUACUGGGCGUAAAGGGCGCGUAGGCGGCCAGCACAAGUCAGUUGUGAAAUCUCCGAGCUUAACUCGGAAAGGUCAACUGAUACUGUGCGGCUAGAGUGCAGGAAGGGCAACUGGAAUUCUUGGUGUAGCGGUGAAAUGCGUAGAUAUCAAGAGGAACACCUGCGGCGAAGGCGGGUUGCUGGGCUGACACUGACGCUGAAGCGCGAAAGCCAGGGGAGCGAACGGG